rnacentral:rRNA from 1 species
UACGUAGGGGGCAAGCGUUGUCCGGAUUUAUUGGGCGUAAAGAGCGUGUAGGCGGUCAGGUAGGUCCGUUGUGAAAACUCGAGGCUCAACCUCGAGACGCCGAUGGAAACCAUCUGACUAGAGUCCGGAAGAGGAGAGUGGAAUUCCUGGUGUAGCGGCGAAAUGCGCAGAUAUCAGGAAGAACACCCGUGGCUAAGGCGGCUCUCUAGUACGGUACUGACGCUGAGACGCGAAAGCGUGGGGAGCGAACAGG